rnacentral:rRNA from 1 species
AUUGAACGCUGGCGGCAUGCUUUACACAUGCAAGUCGAACGGUAACAGGUUAAGCUGACGAGUGGCGAACGGGUGAGUAAUGCAUCGGAACGUGCCCGAUCGUGGGGGAUAACGCAGCGAAAGCUGCGCUAAUACCGCAUACGAUCUGAGGAUGAAAGCGGGGGACCGUAAGGCCUCGCGCGAUCGGAGCGGGCGAUGUCAGAUUAGGUAGUUGGUGGGGUAAAGGCUCACCAAGCCAACGAUCUGUAGCUGGUCUGAGAGGACGACCAGCCACACUGGGACUGAGACACGGCCCAGACUCCUACAGGAGGCAGCAGUGGGGAAUUUUGGACAAUGGGCGAAAGCCUGAUCCAGCAAUGCCGCGUGCAGGAAGAAGGCCUUCGGGUUGUAAACUGCUUUUGUACGGAGCGAAAAGGCUCUCUCUAAUACAGGGGGCUCAUGACGGUACCGUAAGAAUAAGCACCGGCUAACUACGUGCCAGCCGCCGCGGUAA